CCUACGGGGGGCUGCAGUCGAGGAUCUUCGGCAAUGGGCGCAAGCCUGACCGAGCGACGCCGCGUGCGGGAUGAAGGCCUUCGGGUUGUAAACCGCUGUCAGUGGGGAGGAAAUGCGCGGGGGUUCUCCCCCGCGUUUGACCUAUCCGCAGAGGAAGUACGGGCUAAGUUCGUGCCAGCAGCCGCGGUAAGACGAACCGUACGAACGUUAUUCGGAAUCACUGGGCUUAAAGGGUGCGUAGGCUGUGCGGAAAGUUGGGUGUGAAAUCCCUCGGCUCAACCGAGGAACCGCGCCCAAAACUACCGUGCUGGAGGAAGACAGAGGUGAGCGGAACUUAGGGUGGAGCGGUGAAAUGCGUUGAUAUCCUAAGGAACACCGGUGGCGAAAGCGGCUCACUGGGUCUUUUCUGACGCUGAUGCACGAAAGCUAGGGUAGCGAAC
rnacentral:rRNA from 1 species